UGGUACAGUCACUAUGGAAAACCAGAUGAUCCAGUAAUCCAACUUCUUGGGCAUAUGUUCAAAGGAAAUGAAAACAGGGUAUCAAAAAAGAUAUCUGGACUCCCAUGUUCAUUACAAACUUAUUCAAAAUAGCUAAGAUACGGAAAUGACACAAGCGUUUGUCAGUGGAUGGAUAGAUAAAAUUUGUGUUGUAUCUAUACAAUAGAAUAAAAUUCAGACAUGAGAAAGAACAUCCUACCAUUUGCCACAACAUGGAUAGAGUUUGAAGCAUUAUAUUAAGUGAAAUAAGUCAGAGAAAGACUGAUACUGUAUGACAUCGCUUAUAUGUAGAUUCUAAAAAUGCCGUAGAAACAGAGUAGAAUAGUGGUUACCAGGGGCUGGAGGAUUGGGGAAAAGCGGAGAUGUUGGACAGAAGAUACAAACUCCAGUUCUAAGUCAUCCUCCUAUUAUUGGAAAUUUUGUUGAAGAAACAUGGGAAGAUUUAGAAAUUUAUAAUUUGCAAUCCAGCCCUCAAAAUACCAGGAAAGUACAACUAGUCCUUCUGGGGAUGUUUUCUCAAUUCUUCUUCAGAUUUCAUAGAAGAAACCUGAGGUCUGUGAUUAAAAGAAGAAACCAAGGCUCAAGGAGAUUAAGUAAUUUGCCUACAACUGCAUCACUUAGGAGGUGAAGCCAGAGCCUGAAGAAAGCAGUUUGAAGAAGGCAACCUUCCUCCAAGUCCUUCACCUACACUUUAGAUUUAUCUUCCUUGCUAGCUUUUGAAGUGUCUGAAAAAUGGGGGACCUGGGUGGCUCAGUUGGUUGAGGGUCAUGAUCUCACAGUCUGUGAGUUUGAGCCCUACGUCGGGCUCUAUGCUGACAGCUCAGAGCCUGGAGCCUGUUUCAGAUUCUGUGUCUCCCUCUCUCUCUGACCCUCCCCCGUUCAUGCUC